rnacentral:lncRNA from 1 species
CGCACGAACCAACGAACGAGGAGUCCUCUUUCCUCGGGCUGCACGUAUGUAGGUACACAGUGAUAAUCGUCGACUCGUCCGCGCGCGUUUCAUUCUUUUUUUUUUUUUUUUUUUCAAAUUUCCCAUCUCUGGCCCACCCCCUUUCUCUCUUCGUCACGUAAGUCGUAUAUAUACGCGCAUUUCACCCGGACAGUCUCUUUUGUUAUUUUUUUCGAGUAAGCCAUUGUAAAAGGGUGCGAGCUUGCGGAAAGCUUUCGUCACUGGGAGUGCGUGCUUGGUGCAACAACAUUUUGGAGCAGCCAUUGUUUCGGGAGCACGCAAAGCUGUCGCACGGUGCCAUUGAACGCAAAGCCUCGCUGCAGGUAGAGGAGGAGGGAGAAAAAGCUCGCGGGCAAAGAGCUUUAGGUUAGGGGACAGAUAUCACAAGCUCAACCCCGCCAACGAAGAGACGCGCGUCAAAAAAACGUCACGUACAUCGUAUAUACAUAUACAUAUAUAUAUAUACACAUGAUUGGGUGCAUCACCUACAGUCAGAGGGUGGAUUUUCCCCGUUUGCCCCCGAGAGGUGCGAGUAAAAGCUCGUAGCGCAAGCAACGUAAGUCACCACGCGCGAGCCAAUCGGACUGGGACGGAAUGAUCGAUUUUUUCGCCCCUCUCGGCCCGACCUCGUGCUAAUGUAACGACGUCCAGGCUAUAUAUAGCCCGCGAAAAAUUCAACCCGAGAGCUUGCAGUGAGUUCCGAAGGAAGAUAACCGAACGAAAAAAAGCUUCAGUUGUCAUAUUAUACAUAUAUAUAUGUGCGGUCCAAGGUGUCGGAGAAAAGCCGCCGGUCGGCUGCGGCUCUUUGUUCUCGUGGAGAUCGGUAUAACCGAGCACAAGCCGCGGCUGUUGUUUGGCGACGACAGCGACGAGUCGGGUCUCGCGGGCGCGACCACCAUCCACGGGAGGACUGCCUGACACUUGUUGAAGAGCAAAAAAAAGAAGAAAAAAAGAAAAAAGAAAAAAAAGAAAAAACAGAAACAAGUACAAUCGGUAUAUAAUAACAGUAUAUACACAUAUAUGUACAUACAUACAGUCACGCGUCCGAGAGCGAUCGAGGAAGAGAAGAAAAAGUAUAAAACGCGGCUCUUGCGAGGAUGAGAGGCGUCGCCUGGAGGUUUACGGGAGUCUCAGGUGCCGCAGCCGCAGGCUGUGAUCUCGAGCGAGAGCAGGAAGGAAGCUAUAAGGAAAGAUUCCUUUAAAAAAUCAACCCCUCCCCACCCCUAGCGCGUCCUUAUCACACGUUUUACCUGUGGGGGUAUACGCGUAUAUGUAUAUAUAUUUGUAUAUUAUACAUGAGUAUGGGAAUGAAAAAAAAAACGGAGGGAUAGAGGGGAAAUAUAAUUAUAUUGCGCAUAUGGUACAUGUGUUUGUACAUACGGAGCUCGGGAGGAGAAACGGGAAGCAGUGCGUGUAAGUAACAGUUGAAUGAAGCUUCCAAGGCGGCAGGACGAACAAAAUUAAGUAGUACGUUGAUCGAUCUCUUGUACAUCGGUACGAAGCCCAUUGUAAUAUAGAUGUAUGAUUCAUCUCGUGUAAAUUGAAGAAAGAAAACGAAAAAAAAAACAAAAAA